CAGCGAAACUGCGAAUGGCUCAUUAUAUAAGUUAUCGUUUAUUUGAUAGUACCUUACUACUUGGAUAACCGUGGUAAUUCUAGAGCUAAUACAUGCUAAAAAUCCCGACUUCGGAAGGGAUGUAUUUAUUAGAUUAAAAACCAAUGCCCUCUGGGCUCCUUGGUGAUUCAUAAUAACUUUUCGAAUCGCAUGGCCUUGCGCCGGCGAUGGUUCAUUCAAAUUUCUUCCCUAUCAACUUUCGAUGUUUGGGUAUUGGCCAAACAUGGUCGCAACGGGUAACGGAGGGUUAGGGCUCGACCCCGGAGAAGGAGCCUGAGAAACGGCUACUACAUCCAAGGAAGGCAGCAGGCGCGCAAAUUACCCAAUCCCGAUUCGGGGAGGUAGUGACAAUAAAUACUGAUACAGGGCUCUUUUGGGUCUUGUAAUUGGAAUGAGUACAAUUUAAAUCCCUUAACGAGGAACAAUUGGAGGGCAAGUCUGGUGCCAGCAGCCGCGGUAAUUCCAGCUCCAAUAGCGUAUAUUAAAGUUGUUGUGGUUAAAAAGCUCGUAGUUGAACCUUGGGCCUGGCUGGCCGGUCCGCCUCACCGCGUGUACUGGUCCGGCCGGGCCUUUCCCUCUGUGGAACCCCAUGCCCUUCACUGGGUGUGGCGGGGAAACAGGACUUUUACUUUGAAAAAAUUAGAGUGCUCCAGGCAGGCCUAUGCUCGAAUACAUUAGCAUGGAAUAAUAAAAUAGGACGUGUGGUUCUAUUUUGUUGGUUUCUAGGACCGCCGUAAUGAUUAAUAGGGACAGUCGGGGGCAUCAGUAUUCAAUUGUCAGAGGUGAAAUUCUUGGAUUUAUUGAAGACUAACUACUGCGAAAGCAUUUGCCAAGGAUGUUUUCAUUAAUCAGGAACGAAAGUUAGGGGAUCGAAGACGAUCAGAUACCGUCGUAGUCUUAACCAUAAACUAUGCCGACUAGGGAUCGGACGAUGUUAUUUUUUGACGCGUUCGGCACCUUACGAGAAAUCAAAGUG
rnacentral:rRNA from 1 species